CAUUGAGAAGCUAUAGUAGCGUUAACCUUUUAAGUUAAAGAAUGGGAGCUUAAAUCUCUCCUUAAUGA
rnacentral:tRNA from 1 species